rnacentral:rRNA from 1 species
CAGUCGAGCGAGCGGAACCACAGAUUUACUUCGGUAAUGACGUUGGGAAAGCGAGCGGCGGAUGGGUGAGUAACACGUGGGGAACCUGCCCCUAAGUCUGGGAUACCAUUUGGAAACAGGUGCUAAUACCGGAUAAUAAAGCAGAUCGCAUGAUCAGCUUUUGAAAGGCGGCGUAAGCUGUCGCUAAGGGAUGGCCCCGCGGUGCAUUAGCUAGUUGGUAAGGUAACGGCUUACCAAGGCGACGAUGCAUAGCCGAGUUGAGAGACUGAUCGGCCACAUUGGGACUGAGACACGGCCCAAACUCCUACGGGAGGCAGCAGUAGGGAAUCUUCCACAAUGGACGCAAGUCUGAUGGAGCAACGCCGCGUGAGUGAAGAAGGUUUUCGGAUCGUAAAGCUCUGUUGUUGGUGAAGAAGGAUAGAGGUAGUAACUGGCCUUUAUUUGACGGUAAUCAACCAGAAAGUCACGGCUAACUACGUGCUAGCAGCCGCGGUAAUACGUAGGUGGCAAGCGUUGUCCGGAUUUAUUGGGCGUAAAGCGAGCGCAGGCGGAAAAAUAAGUCUAAUGUGAAAGCCCUCGGCUUAACCGAGGAACUGCAUCGGAAACUGUUUUUCUUGAGUGCAGAAGAGGAGAGUGGAACUCCAUGUGUAGCGGUGGAAUGCGUAGAUAUAUGGAAGAACACCAGUGGCGAAGGCGGCUCUCUGGUCUGCAACUGACGCUGAGGCUCGAAAGCAUGGGUAGCGAACAGGAUUAGAUACCCUGGUAGUCCAUGCCGUAAACGAUGAGUGCUAAGUGUUGGGAGGUUUCCGCCUCUCAGUGCUGCAGCUAACGCAUUAAGCACUC